AUACAGAGGGUGCGAGCGUUAAUCGGAAUUACUGGGCGUAAAGCGCGCGUAGGCGGCUUAUUAAGUCAGAUGUGAAAUCCCCGGGCUCAACCUGGGAACUGCAUCUGAUACUGGUAGGCUUGAGUUUUGGAGAGGGAAGUAGAAUUUCAGGUGUAGCGGUGAAAUGCAUAGAGAUCUGAAGGAAUACCAGUGGCGAAGGCGACUUCCUGGCCAAAAACUGACGCUGAGGUGCGAAAGCGUGGGUAGCAAACGGGAUUAGAAACCCCAGUAGUCC
rnacentral:rRNA from 1 species